rnacentral:rRNA from 1 species
UACGUAGGUGGCAAGCGAUGUCCGGAUUUACUGGGCGUAAAGAGCGCGCAGGCGGUCGUUCAAGUCGCGUGUGAAAGCCCCCGGCUCAACUGGGGAGGGUCACGCGAUACUGAUCGACUCGAAGGCAGGAGAGGGUAGUGGAAUUCCCGGUGUAGUGGUGAAAUGCGUAGAUAUCGGGAGGAACACCAGUGGCGAAGGCGACUACCUGGCCUGUUCUUGACGCUGAGGCGCGAAAGCUAGGGGAGCAAACGGG